AGGGAAUCUUCCACAAUGGACGCAAGUCUGAUGGAGCAACGCCGCGUGAGUGAAGAAGGUUUUCGGACCGUAAAGCUCUGUUGUUGGUGAAGAAGGAUAGAGGUAGUAACUGGCCUUUAUUUGACGGUAAUCAACCAGAAAGUCACGGCUAACUACGUGCCAGCAGCCGCGGUAAUACGUAGGUGGCAAGCGUUGUCCGGAUUUAUUGGGCGUAAAGCGAGCGCAGGCGGAAGAAUAAGUCUGAUGUGAAAGCCCUCGGCUUAACCGAGGAAUUGCAUCGGA
rnacentral:rRNA from 1 species